rnacentral:rRNA from 1 species
CAGCAGCCGCGGUAAUGCGUAGGUGGCAAGCGUCGUCCGGAAUUAUUGGGCGUAAAGCGCGCGCAGGCGGUUUCUUAAGUCUGAUGUGAAAGCCCCCGGCUCAACCGGGGAGGGUCAUUGGAAACUGGGAAACUUGAGUGCAGAAGAGGAGAGUGGAAUUCCACGUGUAGCGGUGAAAUGCGUAGAGAUGUGGAGGGACACCUGUGACGAAGGCGACUCUCUGGUCUGUAACUGACGCUGAGGAGCGAAAGCGUGGGGAGCGAACAGGAUUAGAUACCCCCGUAGUCCCUGUCUCUUAUAC